rnacentral:lncRNA from 1 species
AACUAUACCAGAUAACUUAGAAUAAAUGUAAGUGGCAUCCUUGUUGAAUUAAAUAAUAAUGAAGAAUAUAAUUUUGACUCAUUUCUUUUGUUCAUUUACUAUUACCCUCCUCAGAAAGAUGUGUUUUAUUUUAUAGCUCUGAAGAAAUAUUUGCUUACUCUCAACUCCAUUGCUCUGGUGUUUUAAAAAUAAUCAUUGGGGGAAGCGCUCAAGAGAGGUUGGCAACUGAGAGGAAUAAGGCAUGUGCCCCUCGAUUCCCGCCGUGGAGGCUGGUGGAGAGGAAGUGUGGGGUGCUUGAAGUGGCUGCGCUGCCGGGCCAUCUGGUCAUCAGGAAAAGGCUGUGUGUUCAAUUUCACGGGUUUCGCAGGAUGGAGGGGAAAACAGGUUUGCUGUGGAGUUGAACAGUGUGACAGGACGCCUGGAACAUUUUCCCCGUCUUGUUCCCCAUAGGACUGAACCAAAAGCUCUACCUCCAAAAUAUCGAGCACACAGUGAGUGGCCUUGGUCAGAGUUGAAUUUGUGCUGCCUGCUACUUGCCUCCAGAUUCCCACAGUUUUCCGUGGCCACAUCCGCUCCCUUGGUAUCUUCAGACUUCGAGGGAGCAUCAAGAUGGUGGAGCACAUGCAUAGUUAGCUAGCAGUGGGAGAAAGGCUUCCAAGGUGUGGGACAGCAAAAAUCCCAUUGCUCUGAUGACAUAGUCAACUUGGAAGCAUCACCACUACCUAAUUUGUAAGGGACCCCUGGCCACAUUAAGAUGCCUGAACCAGUUAAUCCCAGGAGUAACAUCUUUAUCCUCACCUGUGGUGACAUGGAAGAGCUGAGUUCUAGAUUCCAGCUAGGCAAAUUGCUUAACCUCUUGCACGAUAGGGAUCAUAUUUGACUUCACAGGACUUUUAUGAGGACUAUUCAGCACUGUGGUGGCCUGCCUUGGCCAGAAGGACCAUUUUCCUUUCAGCCAAGUCUUGGAUGGCCAUGUUUACUCUUUUGUCAACUGUCACUUUGAUGAUGACGUUGGCCCUCCUUGGCCCUGACCCAAGGAAAUUAAAAAGUCCUCACUUCCUAAGGAUAUAAUCUAAUGCAAAGAUAUAGGAACAGCUUUGUGUUUGAAGAAAUGUUCCAUUCAAACAGAAGAGGAAAGGAAAUGAAUUUUAAAAUUGUGUGAACAUUGAGAUUAUUUUCUUUUAAUUAUAUGCAUCAAGUGGGUAUCAAGAAACUCGGAUAAUAGAAAAAUAACAGAUAAUUCUAAGUUCAAACAUUUAUUAAGGGCCUACUGAGUGCCUAAGACUAAGACUAAGCUUAAGACUGUUCCAGGUGCUGAAAUAAUGAUUGAAUAUGACGUCUGCCUCGGCCUCAGGGAGUUCGUGGCCUGAUAGGAGAAUACAUUUAGACUUAGGAGCACAGGGGUACAGAAUAGGGAGUGUUUAGCUGCUAGAGGGAGAGUAGUAACAGGGAAGGCCUCUUAGAAGAGGUGAAGUCUGAGCUGGACUUUGAAGGAUAAAUUCUAAGCAGAGGAAACAACCUAGGCAAAGGCAUGGGUGUAACAUGGCGUGGCGGGUUUGGAGAAGGCAGAGUUGGGUGGAUGGCUCUGGAGCGGGAGCAGAGACUGGUGGAGGGCCUGAUGUAGGAGUGUGGGCUUU